rnacentral:rRNA from 1 species
AGAGUUUGAUCAUGGCUCAGAUUGAACGCUGGCGGCAUGCCCUACACAUGCAAGUCGAACGGCAGCAUGAUCUAGCUUGCUAGAUUGAUGGCGAGUGGCGAACGGGUGAGUAAUACAUCGGAACGUGCCCUGUAGUGGGGGAUAACUAGUCGAAAGAUUAGCUAAUACCGCAUACGACCUGAGGGUGAAAGUGGGGGACCGCAAGGCCUCAUGCUAUAGGAGCGGCCGAUGUCUGAUUAGCUAGUUGGUGGGGUAAAGGCCCACCAAGGCGACGAUCAGUAGCUGGUCUGAGAGGACGAUCAGCCACACUGGGACUGAGACACGGCCCAGACUCCUACGGGAGGCAGCAGUGGGGAAUUUUGGACAAUGGGCGAAAGCCUGAUCCAGCAAUGCCGCGUGUGUGAAGAAGGCCUUCGGGUUGUAAAGCACUUUUGUCCGGAAAGAAAUGGCUCUGGUUAAUACCUGGGGUCGAUGACGGUACCGGAAGAAUAAGGACCGGCUAACUACGUGCCAGCAGCCGCGGUAAUACGUAGGGUCCAAGCGUUAAUCGGAAUUACUGGGCGUAAAGCGUGCGCAGGCGGUUGUGCAAGACCGAUGUGAAAUCCCCGAGCUUAACUUGGGAAUUGCAUUGGUGACUGCACGGCUAGAGUGUGUCAGAGGGGGGUAGAAUUCCACGUGUAGCAGUGAAAUGCGUAGAGAUGUGGAGGAAUACCGAUGGCGAAGGCAGCCCCCUGGGAUAACACUGACGCUCAUGCACGAAAGCGUGGGGAGCAAACAGGAUUAGAUACCCUGGUAGUCCACGCCCU